rnacentral:lncRNA from 1 species
GCCAUGUGCACAGGGGGCAUUGAGAAAUAUCUCUGGACCAAUCACCUAAAAGAUGUGACUCUCCUCACUUGCCUGGACUCUGCUCAGAAUAGAGAUUUCGACACAUCAGUGGGUUCAACACCUAGGUGAUGCGGCUCUUCCUUCUUUUCUGGGCUCUUCCAUCAGAGAAGAUUGUGACAUUUUCUGAGCCCAGCACUCAAGUGAGGUGACUUGUCUCCCUGGACUCUCCCCACAGACAGCAUUGUGAAAUAUCUUUGGGAUCAUCACCUAGGCAUGGAAUCCCAGGGAAUAUCCUGCAUUCUCAGUGUCCAGCUGUCUGAUGCCACAGUUGUUUAUGAUGAUCGAGGACAACUACGUUUUUCUGAGGAGACUUACCACCUCAUGGCUGAGGAGUCUUGCAAUAAAGUGGCUGCUUCCAAUACCAGAUGGUAUCUCUACUGGGACAAAAUUAAAUUUCUGAAUUACUUUGAAGAAAAAUGAUGAUUGAGUGAUAUUGAGCAUUUCUACCUUAGAACAUGAUUUGGUUUUCCAUUUGUUUAUGCUGAUUUUCUUAUAUUUCAAGGACUUUUUAUGGUCUUUCUCAUAUGCUUAACAAAUGUUUGUUAGAUUUAUGUAUAGCUAGUUUAUUUUAUUUAGUCCUGUUAAAAAGUAAACUGUAGCACAAUACAAAUUUUAAAAGUUUUCUUGGCUGGGAAUGGUGGCUCAUAUCUGUGAUUCCAGCACUUUGAGAGGCCAGGUUGAGGGGAUUACUUGAGCCCAGAAGUUUGAGGCCAGCCUGGGAAAUAUAGUGAGACCCUGUCUCUACAAAAUACAAGAAGAAAUUAGCCAAGUGUGGUGGUGCAUGCCUGUAGUUGCAGCUACUCAUGGGGCUAAGGUGGGAGGAUGGCUUGAGCUCAGGAUGUAAGGCUGCAGAGAGCUUUGAUUCUGUGUACACACUCCAGCAUGGACAAUAGAGCAAGAACCCGUUUUAAAAAUAUUUUCUUGAGAAAGAAGCAACUUAUGAAUUGUGGAACACCAGAGCAAGAGAGGCUUUCCACUUCAACGGCAAAGUGUCAGAGGUAUGAUUGUAUUGAACAAAUGCAGGAACAAAAUAUUAAAAUUAUGUGAUUUGUUGCAGUUAUAAAAUUGUAUUUUUUGGUUUACCUUAUAGACAUAUAUUACUAUAAGAUUCUUGGUACUUUUGAUAAUUUAAGCUUAAGUUCUUUUUUUUUUUAAUGCAGGCAUUCACAAAAAAUAGCUCACGUUAUGUUUUGCUUAUUUGCAAGUCAACAAGAUGAGGUCCCUGAGGAUGUCUAACUGAUUCUGUCCACUCGGGAAUGUUUCGGACUUGGUCUUCCUUUUAAUUUACUUUAUAAAUCAUUUUGUAAUUUUUAUCUCCUACUCAUUCUGUAACAGGUAACACAACUGACCAGAAGAAAAACAGCCUAGAUCCUGAGCAUUCAGCCUGUGUCUUCACACAACAAACACCACCUGAGUCCCAUCAAAGCCUGUGUUGUUUCCCAACAUCCACCAUUGAGACAUAUUCCAGAGCAGCCUCUCAAAAUCACCUAAACAAGAUGGAACAAGAAGGUGGAGCCAGACGUACAGGGCGGAACAUGAAAGUGGACCAGGAGCGUGACCGCUGAAGCACAGCACCACAGGAAGAGGUUUAGGCCUCUGGAUGACUGCGGGCGGGCCUGACUCAUGUCAGGCCUUCCACAAGAAGUGGUGGAGCAGAGUCUUCCCCAACUCUCCCAGGGAAAGGGAGACUCCCUUUGCCGGUCUGCUAAGUAACCGGUGCCUUCCCAGGCACUGGCGUUACCGCUAGACCAAGGAGCCCUCUAGUGGCCAUGUCUGGGCAUAACUGAGGGCUCACACUCUUCUGGUCACUUAUCACCCUUCAGCUCCUAUCUCUGUAUGGCCUGGUCUUUCCUAGGUUAUAAUUGUAGAACGGACAUUAUUAUAAUAUUGGAAUAAAGAGUAAUGCUACAAACUAAUAAUAAUAAUAUUCAUAUAUAAUCAUAUCUAUAUUCUAUUUCUAGUAUGACUAUUCUUAUUCUCUAUAUUUUCUUUAUUAUACUGGAACAACUUGUGCUUUCUAUCUCUUGGCUCAGCACCUGGGUGGCUUGCUGCCCACAAGAAUAGCCCAUCCUAAUUUUUUGUUUUACAUCUACUAUAAAUCAAAUAGAUUUUGUUCCAUAUUUUAUAGUGGAAUUUAAGAUGAAACCCACAUUGUUAAAUAUGUGAGAUUGAUUAUAAGCUCAUCAAGGAGGUUUUUACUCAGUGAGGGAAUUCAGAGAACAUAAAGUUGCAAAGGCAGAAGCAAAUGUUUUGAAUGAAUUUUGAGAGACAAUACUAACAGAAGUGCUUCCCACUUUUAUGACUCAUAUGACUCAUAUGAUCUUUCUGUAGGAAAAACUGCCUCUAAUUGUAGACACUGGUUCAUAGCAGAUGCUAAAUGAACCAG